AACCAUAGAAACCUGCGGAGUACCUGCGGAGGGAUCAUUAUAGUAUAUGGAAUCUCCAUUCUAUAAACCCACUCUGCGUAUCUUGUAACUGUUGCUUCCAUGGGACUUGGUUCCGCCACACCGGCUUCACGGCUGGUGAGCGCCCAUGGAAGGAGGAACAAAACUCUUCUUUGAAAUGUAGUCAGUCUGAACAAGUUUUUAUAAACGUUAAAACUUUUAGCAAUGGAUCUCAGAUCGGAA
rnacentral:misc_RNA from 1 species